rnacentral:snoRNA from 1 species
GAAUGGGGUGAGCUUCUAACCCAUGCCAGAGCAAACUGUGUCCCCAAACCAUUGCCUGGCCUCUGUGCCUGUAGGCUGCUGGCACCGAAGUGGCUUGCACAAUG